CUUGACUGUAGCUUGAAAUUGGGUUCGGGCUCUUCUUGCGCAGCCUAGGUGGGAGGCUAUGAAGAUAAACUUUUGGGUUUAUUGGAGCCAUCAGUGAGAGACCACUCUGGAGGAGCUAGAAUUCUAAUGGCGUUCCUUGAAGCAGGACGCUUGACAGUUUCAGGUGGGCAGUUUGACUGGGGCGGUCACCUCCUAAAAGGUAACGGAGGUGUGCAAAGGUUCCCUCAGGCUGGACGGAAAUCAGCCGUAGAGUGUAAAGGCAGAAGGGAGCUUGACUGCAAGACCUACAAGUCGAGCAGGGGCGAAAGCCGGCCUUAGUGAUCCGACGGUUCCGUGUGGAAGGGCCGUCGCUAAACGGAUAAAAGUUA
rnacentral:rRNA from 1 species